AAUUCUUUGGUCCUUGUGACGUCAAUUAUGCAGCCAUUAUGAAUUUCAAAGUUCGAGAAGAAGCGUGAGCAUGAUAAAGCCGCAUGAAGUGAGAUACUGAUUUUCUAGAUUAAGAAAGCACACAAGUUUCAAAAGUGACCAAAAAGUUAUGAUGGUUUUGGUUUCGGCUCAGGUCAUCAUUACCUUCACAAAGUGCAGAAAAAAGGUGCAAAUUGAUCUCUUAUUUUAAUUGUUUAAUUGUUUUAAUAAUUCAUGAAAUAUAAUAAAUUUUGUUUCUACACAAAAGCAUCGUUUCUCCUUUGUAAUUGUUAAUAUGCACAGCAUUUUCUUGUUUAUACAUUUUGUUUCCUUUUCGGAAUGUGUGUUUUUACAUUCGUUCUCUAGGAAACUGUAUCACUAACAAAAGCAGUAAACAAAGGGACUCCAACAGUGUGUGUUUCAUGUACUUUUUGUUACAAAGAAAUAAAUUGAGCCACUUCUGUUGCAAAAAAAGCUGGGGGAGAAGGCAUUUGCUAUUUUUUGUUUUGAAAUGUAUGGAAUCAUCCAUAAAGGAUGUUUGAAUCUUUGAGAGUAAGGUGUCUUGAUUGUAUUUUUACUGAUUUCGUUGUCGUCUUUGAAGGGAAGAGUAUUGUACUUUAUUUUGUUUGUUGGGUGUGGAUGUUAUUUCAGAAGCCCUGGUUACAAAGUUUUUCUCUAAUUUAAGAAGCACGAUUAUCAGGAACAAAUACCAAGAAUAUAUUUCCAUGUCAAUAAAUGCCCAGAAUGUAUUCAAGCUUCUUUCCAAUGGGGAAAAAACCUUGUAGCCAUUUGAAAUGAAAAUAAAGUAUACAAUUUUCGAAGUACUCAAAGUUGCUAUUUUUGACAUAUUUAGAAACAGCUGCUUUAGAAUUUUAUGCUCACAACAAGGUAAGCAUUUGCACAAAUCUUGCAUUGAUUUUCAGUCUUUUAUUUUGCAUUGUUUUCUCAGAGAAUUAUUUUUUAAUUUCCAUUGUUUCUCUAGAAAAUAGUUUUAAUCUUUUUUCAGAAAAUUUUUCUUUAAUUUGGCUCUUUCCUUCGAAACUUAUUUUUUAAUUUAGCUUUUUUUCCACAGAGGUUAAAAUUGUCUCUUUUGCUGUUAUAGAAAAUGAUUAAAUCCAUAUUAACUAGAAAUGCAAAUGCUUUAUUGAUGAUACAUUAUAAUUGAGGCUAAACAAAUCUUUGGUAAAAAAUAAUGAUAACUUAUUUUGAAUUUGAAUGAUUUAUUAAUAGUAGAAACAAAUUCAGGUUGAAUGGGGGCUGUUCCCUAUCAACUGGAUUUUCCUCCAUAUCGGGCAACAGUCUUCGAAUGUCAGAUAUAAAAGAUUGCAGAAGUAACAUAUCACUGUGGCAGAAAAACUGCCAAAGACAAUGGUCAAAAGCAAAUGUCUCUGCAGAUUUUUUAAUUUUUUAAAAUUAAAAAAAUAUAUAUUAGCGAAGUGAGCAGUGAGAAGUUUUUUGUCAUUGUGGUGGGAUCUAGGAGUAUGAAAAAUUUGAAUAUAUAAUCAUAAAAAAAGCCUUAUAACUGCUUAUAAUUUGGCAUUUGCUGAAGCAAAAUUUGAAGGCUGGGGCAAAAUUUGAAGAUGUUUUUGAUUUGAAAAAAUUUGAUUUGUACUAACAUUUUUACACUAUAUUAAAUUAAAAUUAUGAUAAUAGAGAAAAGAAAAAUUUAAUGUAAUGACCUCAUUAUUUGCCAAUAAUGGGGUCAUUAUGAUUUCACUUUCAAGUAAGUAACUUUGUGAAAAAAAUCUGAAAAACAUUAAAGACCAGACUGUAACUGAAAGCUAACUUCACAAAUUGUGUAAUCAAAAAGAAAAGGUUUAUUUAUCUUCUUUUUUUACAUAUAUUACUAUAGGUACAAUGCAGGAGUAGACCAUGAAAACCAUUAAGUUUUUAGUAGCAAGCGAAACUUAUCUUCACCAAGUAGCACCAUAAUUCUAAAUUCAGAGGAAUAUGCAGUGUAAAUUUGAUGAAGGGUUGUGUAAUUUAACAAGUGUGAGUAAAAUUAGUUGCAGAAUGACAAGCUAUAUUGUGUCAGUGCCUGAAGAUUUUUUUAUAUUUAACAAAAUUGCGGUAUCAAAAAUACCAUGUUCAAGGCAUGAUCAGCGUUUUUUUCAGGAUUUUUUUACUACUGUUAAACAGUAGUAAAAAAAUCACUCUUGAAGUUGGGUUUUAACUCAAUCUUAUAAAAUAAAAAAAUAUUUGAGGUAAAAAAAUGCUUAUUUGAUUCAAUUUUAAAAUUAAAAAUUCUCUAAAAACAGAAAAGUAAAACAUUCAGAUGAGAAAAAGGUUGAAUGAUGGAUAAACACAAAUAAAAACAUCAACAUGUGUACCAAUGUACAGCUUUUUAAAAAGACCCUCCAACUUUGUCUACCAUUGUCUUUAUGCCAUAAACGAACCUAACGGUGGUUGAAGAAACUUAAAGCUUCUCCGGGAGUAAAUUUAUUUUUAAAGAAAAGAGUUUAAGCACAAGGUAUGUUACAGAAGAAUAUUGGUUGUUCGUUACCGUAAUAGUAGUAGUACAAAUCCCUAAUUUAGCUGCACAACUUGUUUUGAUCACAACUUAAGUCAUUCCAAAAAAUAUGCUAGACUAGCUAUGUCCAUUUUUUGUUUUAAAAACACUGUUUUGCAGGAUGUGUAAUCAACAAACAUUCAAAGAAUUUUGUCUUACUUGUUUCCUGUUUAAUUAGCUGUGAAAUUUAUGCAUCAGCAAUAUAGCGCUUUUAUCGAUAUUGGCAGAGAAAACAAAUCAACUAAAUGAUAAAUAUUGCUUAGCAUUGCUUAUAGCUAUGUAGCAAAUCAAGUGGCCAUACAGUGAUCAAUUUUUAUUUAGCAAUAAAUUUAUUGUUUUUUAUCUAAUUAUCGCUAAAUAGUUAUCGUUAAUUAUUGCUUGCUAUCAAAUUCCCUGCAAUUAUCACAUAGCUGCAGUCAUCGCAUUUUCCUUCUUUAAAGGUCCUUGUGCUAAUCACAGAUAAAAUUGAUCUUCAUUGUAUAUCAAUGACAAAAUCCAAUUUUGAUGGCAAUUUUCCUCAAAUAAUUAUUUUUAUUCAAAU